AGCCCACCAUGGGAGUCUGACUAGUAAAAUGUAGUGUUUGCAACCUGUGGUGACAUUGAAUAAGCGAAAUGAUAUAAGAUCGUCAUUAUGCGCUGCUGUCGCCUUUGUUUUCAUUGUGUGUUGUGUGGUUCUUGAGUUAUCAUCCUAUCCACCAGGUUGUAUCUGGCGGUGGUUCUGGAGACAGCGCGGUUCGAUCCAGCUGUGGGCCGGACGUCACCCAGCAGAAAUGGCAGCGUGUUAUCACCACCUACGAGGCGCGCAUACAGACAUUGUCCAGAAACAAUCACGUCAUCUCCAGAGCGCCACGCGACCACGAUGGGACUGCCAACGAUGGCCUGCUCACCGACAGCUCCCCGCCAGCCAACGGGCUUCCGCCAGCCAACGGCGUUCUGCCCGCCGAUGGUGGCCCGACGACCGACGGUCGCUCGCCGGCCGAAGGUGAUCCGGUUCCACAUAAUCGCCACGCCAUAUGUGGAAGGCUUUUGGUGUCAAUACAUACAUACAUACAUACAUAGCCGAACGAGGCUCGCCGACCUUAACGCCGACCGACGCCGGCCCACCCGCCGACGGCGCCCUGCCAGCCGACCGCGUCCCGCUCGCCGACGGCGUCGAUACGCCGGCGCGCGUAUCGACAUUGAUCAGAAACGAUCACAUUAUGUCCAGGUCACUGGUCGCGGGCGCUCGAGCUGACGGUGUCUUCCAACGGCUCCACGGUGACCAGCGCCGCCACCGCCGAGAUCAUCCGACUCCUGAAAUGAUAAUGGCCGUACACGAACAAGAGGCUCUAAGCAUCCAGGUGCAAGCAAGCGCCAUGCUCCGAGGCGUCAUCCGAAGAAGGUCGCACAGGGUACUUAAGGCUGAGCUCGGGUGUAGUGCGCGCUGACGGAUAGGAUUAAAUGACGGCCAUCAUAUUUCAGUGCUGAGAUCAAGAUGGUCGGAGCCGACGUGGCUCGGUUGAUGGUGUGUCAGGGUUGAUUGAGAGUGGAGGCGAGACACCCGGAUGUGAAGGAUACGCUGAUACGGGUCUCGACGUCGUCUCGCAAUUUGUGCUAUGUAAUAUGACGGCUAUGCCGUGGUAUCAUUCACUCUCGAUGCGCUAAUAAGUAAUAACUAAGACAGAUACUGGAGUUAAGAUUAUUAUAUUUGGAUGUAAGGGGCAGAUUUUGGCCAGCGCUAUUUUAGAAAUCGUGAGCGUGCUAGUUGCAAUAAAUCGCGCGCUUCUUGCUGAGCAUCUGUGAGCGAGAAAAUACUUUCUCUGGAACGUUCGUCGUAAAAUAUGUGUAUCUUUGGAAUAAGUUGUCAGAACAUGAAUGAAUUUUUGGUGUCCACUGCAGCUGCUGUUCUGGAACAGAAGCAUGCCGAGAUCGGCUGUGUAUAU